rnacentral:rRNA from 1 species
GUCUACGGCCAUCCCACCCCGAACGCGCCGGAUCUGGUCCGAUCUCAGAAGCGAAGCAGGGUCGGGCCCGGUUAGGGCUUGGAUGGGUAGGAAGGGGCUUCCCAAAGCAAGAGUGCCUAGGGCCUAUGGACG